CCUACGGGAGGCUGCAGUGAGGAAUAUUGGUCAAUGGGCGCGAGCCUGAACCAGCCAAGUAGCGUGAAGGAUGACUGCCCUACGGGUUGUAAACGUCUUUUAUAAAGGAAUAAAGUGAGGCACGUGGGCCUUUUUGUAUGUACUUUAUGAAUAAGGAUCGGCUAACUCCGUGCCAGCAGCCGCGGUAAUACGGAGGAUCCGAGCGUUCUCCGGAUUUAUGGGGUUUACCGGGAGCGUAGAUGGGUUGUUAAGGCAGUUGUGAAAGUUUGCGGCUCAACCGUAAAAUUGCAAUUGAUACUGGCAGUCUUGAGUACAGUUUCGGUCGGCGGCCUUCGUGUUGUAGCGGU
rnacentral:rRNA from 1 species